GAACUUUUGGUGAAAACAAAAUACAUGACUUAGGGCCUAUUUGGCAUGGUUCUGGAGCUGAACUCCACCAACUCCAACCAAUUUUGUAGCCAAACACUCCAAUUUCAAAACUUCAUGAAGCAUCAAAACUCUAAAACUCUGCGGUUGUAGUUUAAAUAGAAUUGGAGUUUUGGAGCACCUCUUUUGCAGCUCCAGAACUCUCCAAAACCAACCUAGACGUGGAGUUCAGAGGUAAUGACCCACCACUGCCAUCCAUUUACACAACCGAAAUGUUAUUUCAUUCUAUUCUUCUCCACCAAGUCCUGUCGGCACCCACCCUGCCUGCUCGCCCGCCCACCCGCCGCUCACCUCUUCCCGCUUGCCAGCACCCGACGUGCCGCUCACAUCCGCCUCCGCAUCCUCCUCCGCACCGCUCUGACCCGCCGCUAUGCUUCCUCGACCUAGCCACCGAGCUCCCCCAACCCCGCCGCCUACCUCUUCCUAGCGGCCGGUCCCGAUGAACCGCCACAGUCGGAGCUCCUCCCAGGCAUGGGGCUCGAAGGAGUGGAGCACGGAGGAGGCUGGCGUGCCAACGAGCAAGUGCAGGCCCCCGCCCGGUCUCCAUUGAGCUGCCGCCGGGCCCCCUCAAUCCGCCGCCGGCCUCCAUCGAUCGAUCCUCCGCCAGCUUCCAUCGAGCCGCCGGCUGCGCCUCCCCUUCUUUUCCUCGCUCCCGCCAUCGGCCGCGCUCCCCCCGCCGGUCGCCGCCCUCGCUCCUAUUGCGACGCCUGCCACCAUCCUCGUCUCCUCGCGACACCGGCCACCGCCCCCAUCCCAGGCCAGCCUCUGAGCGGCCGAUGCGUUGACCUCCGAGUGGGCUCCUUGCCGUCGUGCCCCUCCUCGCCUGCAAGAUCCGCCGGCGGGUGGGCUCCUCCUAACCAUGCUCAUCCUACUAGCGUCAUUAGCACCAAGCCGCCGCCUCCACUAUCCAUGAGAGAGAGGAGGAAGACAAUUGCAUGUGAGGAAAUGAUGUGUGUGGCCACGGAUAAUGGCAACAAUGGCAAUCUAAUCUGAAAAACCUCUUUUCUGGAGCUAGAAGCACUAUUGUAGCCAAACACCUCAUUCCAACAGCUCCAACUCCAUCUGGUCAGCUCCACAUGGAGUUCUGGAGUGGAGCAGCUCCACCUGGAGUUGGAGCUAUGCUAAACAGACCCUUAGUUGAAAACAAUAUACGCUCCACCAGCUAUUCAUGUGAAGUGCUGCCACAUAUUUAGGAGUUUCACCACCCAAGAGUUGAUAUUGAAGAUAAAGAUAAUUAGCACAAUGCUUAGUGCUAGGCCUAUUAAUGCAUUUUCCUAUGUGUUGGCCUAGAGUGAGUGCGUGUUGAAAGGAGGAGAGGCUCAUGGUAUUUUGGCUGAAACUCUACCAAGUGAAGACAACGUACAGGACCAUGGAGAGGCCGAGUCAUAAACCCACUUAUUGGUGUGAAGUAUAAGCAAUCCACGAAAUGACCGGAUCAAAAUCUUACCCUUGUGAUGGGAUAGGCUCCAAUAAGGACUUGUGAAAAGCGCGAGCUUUCCGAGAACUCAUUAUGCCGGAGUUUUGCAA